rnacentral:rRNA from 1 species
GAUGAACGCUGGCGGCGUGCCUAAUACAUGCCAGUCGAGCGAACGGACGAGAAGCUUGCUUCUCUGAUGUUAGCGGCGGACGGGUGAGUAACACGUGUAUAACCUACCUAUAAGACUGGGAUAACUUCGGGAAACCGUAGCUAAUACCGGAUAAUAUUUUGAACCGCAUGGUUCAAAAGUGAAAGACGGUCGUGCUGUCACUUAUAGAUGGAUCCGCGCUGCAUUAGCUAGUUGGUACGGUAACGGCUUACCAAGGCAAGCAUGCGUAGCCGACCUGUGAGAGUGAUAGGCCACACGGGAGGUGAGACGGGGUCAAGAGGACUACGGGAGGGAGCAGUAGGCAACGUGCCGCAGUGGGCGAAAGCAUGACGGAGCAACGCGGCGUGAGUGAUGAAGGUCUUCGGAGCGGAAAACUCGGUUAUGAGGGAAGAACAUAUGUGUAAGUAACUGUGCACAGCGUGACGGUACCUAAUCAGAAAGCCACGGCUAACUACGUG